CUACGGGUGGCAGCAGUGGGGAAUAUUGCACAAUGGGCGCAAGCCUGAUGCAGCCAUGCCGCGUGUAUGAAGAAGGCCUUCGGGUUGUAAAGUACUUUCAGCGGGGAGGAAGGGAGUAAAGUUAAUACCUUUGCUCAUUGACGUUACCCGCAGAAGAAGCACCGGCUAACUCCGUGCCAGCAGCCGCGGUAAUACGGAGGGUGCAAGCGUUAAUCGGAAUUACUGGGCGUAAAGCGCACGCAGGCGGUUUGUUAAGUCAGAUGUGAAAUCCCCGGGCUCAACCUGGGAGCUGCAUCUGAUACUGGCAAGCUUGAGUCUCGUAGAGGGGGGUAGAAUUCCAGGUGUAGCGGUGACAUGCGUAGAGAUCUGGAGGAAUACCGGUGGCGAAGGCGGCCCCCUGGACGAAGACUGACGCUCAGGUGCGAAAGCGUGGGGAGCAAACAGGAUUAGAUACCCCCGUAGUC
rnacentral:rRNA from 1 species